rnacentral:rRNA from 1 species
UACGUAGGGGGCAAGCGUUGUCCGGAAUCAUUGGGCGUAAAGCGCGUGUAGGCGGCUCGAUAAGUCUGCUGUGAAAGUCCAGGGCUCAACCCUGGGAUGCCGGUGGAUACUGUCGAGCUCGAGUCCGGAAGAGGCGAGUGGAAUUCCUGGUGUAGCGGUGAAAUGCGCAGAUAUCAGGAGGAACACCGAUAGCGAAGGCAGCACUCUGGUACGUGACUGACGCUGAGACGCGAAAGCGUGGGGAGCAAACAGG